rnacentral:rRNA from 1 species
AACGCGAAGAACCUUACCAGGCCUUGACAUCCAAUGAACUUUCCAGAGAUGGAUUGGUGCCUUCGGGAGCAUUGAGACAGGUGCUGCAUGGCUGUCGUCAGCUCGUGUCGUGAGAUGUUGGGUUAAGUCCCGUAACGAGCGCAACCCUUGUCCUUAGUUACCAGCACGUAAUGGUGGGCACUCUAAGGAGACUGCCGGUGACAAACCGGAGGAAGGUGGGGAUGACGUCCAGUCAUCAUGGCCCUUACGGCCUGGGCUACACACGUGCUACAAUGGUCGGUACAAAGGGUUGCCAAGCCGCGAGGUGGAGCUAAUCCCAUAAAACCGAUCGUAGUCCGGAUCGCAGUCUGCAACUCGACUGCGUGAAGUCGGAAUCGCUAGUAAUCGCGAAUCAGAAUGUCGCGGUGAAUACGUUCCCGGGUCUUGUACACACCG